rnacentral:rRNA from 1 species
ACUCAAAGGAAUUGACGGGGGCCCGCACAAGCGGCGGAGCAUGUGGCUUAAUUCGAUGCAACGCGAAGAACCUUACCUAGGCUUGACAUGCAGAGUAAAGCGGGUGAAAGCCCGUGUCCUUUUGGGCUCUGCACAGGUGCUGCAUGGCUGUCGUCAGCUCGUGCCGUGAGGUGUUGGCUUAAGUGCCGCAACGAGCGCAACCCCUGCUUUUAGUUGCCAGCGGGUAAUGCCGGGGACUCUAAAAGGACUGCCGGGGACAACUCGGAGGAAGGUGGGGAUGACGUCAAGUCCGCAUGGCCCUUAUGUCUAGGGCUGCACACAUGCUACAUUGCGCGCUACAAAGGGCUGCGAUACCGCAAGGUGGAGCGAAUCCCAAAAAAGCGCGCCUGGUUCGGAUUGGGGUCUGCAACUCGACCCCAUGAAGUCGGAGUCGCUAGUAAUCGCAGAUCAGCAACGCUGCGGUGAAUACGUUCCCGGGCCUUGCACACACCGCCCGU